CCCAGAUAUGGGGGGAGCCCAGCCUGGGAGCAUCUGGGGACACUUUCUGGAAGACGUGAGUACUACAGCACUAAGAGUUUGCUAGAAGGGCAGGAAUGAAGGGCCCUCUCAGUACAAAGGUGUGAAGACGGUGGUGAACUGUGCGGGGAAGGUGUGAAGACGGUGGUGAACUGCGUGGGGAAGGUGUGAAGACGGUGGUGAACUGCGCGGGGAAGGGGUGAAGACGGUGGUGAGCUGCGUGGGGAAGGUGUGAAGACGGUGAACUGUGUGGGGAAGGUGUGAAGACGGUGGUGAACUGUGCGGGGAAGGUGUGAAGACA
rnacentral:lncRNA from 1 species